rnacentral:rRNA from 1 species
AUUGAACGCUGGCGGCAUGCUUUACACAUGCAAGUCGAGCGGCAGCGCGGGGGCAACCCUGGCGGCGAGCGGCGAACGGGUGAGUAUACAUCGGAACGUGUCCCGUAGUGGGGGAUAGCCCGGCGAAAGCCGGAUUAAUACCGCAUAUGCUCUACGGAGGAAAGCGGGGGAUUCGCAAGAACCUCGCGCUAUGGGAGCGGCCGAUGUCCGAUUAGCUUGUUGGUGAGGUAAAGGCUCACCAAGGCGACGAUCGGUAGCUGGUCUGAGAGGAUGAUCAGCCACACUGGGACUGAGACACGGCCCAGACUCCUACGGGAGGCAGCAGUGGGGAAUUUUGGACAAUGGGGGAAACCCUGAUCCAGCCAUGCCGCGUGAGUGAAGAAGGCCUUCGGGUUGUAAAGCUCUUUUGGCCGGAAAGAAAAGAUCU